rnacentral:rRNA from 1 species
GAGAGCUCCGUCGGGGCCGCAAGACAGGUGCUGCAUGGCUGUCGUCAGCUCGUGUCGUGAGAUGUUGGGUUAAGUCCCGCAACGAGCGCAACCCUUAUCUUUAGUUACCAUCAUUCAGUUGGGGACUCUAAAGACACUGCCCCGGUCAACGGGGAGGAAGGUGGGGAUGACGUCAAGUCCUCAUGGCCCUUAUGUCCAGGGCUACACACGUGCUACAAUGGGCAGUACAAAGGGUAGCAAGCCUGCGAAGGUGAGCCAAUCCCAAAAAGCUGUUCGUAGUUCGGAUUGGAGUCUGCAACUCGACUCCAUGAAGCUGGAAUCGCUAGUAAUCGCGCAUCAGCAUGGCGCGGUGAAUACGUUCCCGGGCCUU